UUAAGCGACUAAGCGUACACGGUGGAUGCCCUGGCAGUCAGAGGCGAUGAAGGACGUGCUAAUCUGCGAUAAGCGUCGGUAAGGUGAUAUGAACCGUUAUAACCGGCGAUUUCCGAAUGGGGAAACCCAGUGUGUUUCGACACACUAUCAUUAACUGAAUCCAUAGGUUAAUGAGGCGAACCGGGGGAACUGAAACAUCUAAGUACCCCGAGGAAAAGAAAUCAACCGAGAUUCCCCCAGUAGCGGCGAGCGAACGGGGAGGAGCCCAGAGCCUGAAUCAGUGUGUGUGUUAGUGGAAGCGUCUGGAAAGGCGCGCGAUACAGGGUGACAGCCCCGUACACAAAAAUGCACAUGCUGUGAGCUCGAUGAGUAGGGCGGGACACGUGGUAUCCUGUCUGAAUAUGGGGGGACCAUCCUCCAAGGCUAAAUACUCCUGACUGACCGAUAGUGAACCAGUACCGUGAGGGAAAGGCGAAAAGAACCCCGGCGAGGGGAGUGAAAAAGAACCUGAAACCGUGUACGUACAAGCAGUGGGAGCCUCUUUUAUGGGGUGACUGCGUACCUUUUGUAUAAUGGGUCAGCGACUUAUAUUCUGUAGCAAGGUUAACCGAAUAGGGGAGCCGAAGGGAAACCGAGUCUUAACUGGGCGUUAAGUUGCAGGGUAUAGACCCGAAACCCGGUGAUCUAGCCAUGGGCAGGUUGAAGGUUGGGUAACACUAACUGGAGGACCGAACCGACUAAUGUUGAAAAAUUAGCGGAUGACUUGUGGCUGGGGGUGAAAGGCCAAUCAAACCGGGAGAUAGCUGGUUCUCCCCGAAAGCUAUUUAGGUAGCGCCUCGUGAAUUCAUCUCCGGGGGUAGAGCACUGUUUCGGCAAGGGGGUCAUCCCGACUUACCAACCCGAUGCAAACUGCGAAUACCGGAGAAUGUUAUCACGGGAGACACACGGCGGGUGCUAACGUCCGUCGUGAAGAGGGAAACAACCCAGACCGCCAGCUAAGGUCCCAAAGUCAUGGUUAAGUGGGAAACGAUGUGGGAAGGCCCAGACAGCCAGGAUGUUGGCUUAGAAGCAGCCAUCAUUUAAAGAAAGCGUAAUAGCUCACUGGUCGAGUCGGCCUGCGCGGAAGAUGUAACGGGGCUAAACCAUGCACCGAAGCUGCGGCAGCGACACUGUGUGUUGUUGGGUAGGGGAGCGUUCUGUAAGCCUGUGAAGGUGUACUGUGAGGUAUGCUGGAGGUAUCAGAAGUGCGAAUGCUGACAUAAGUAACGAUAAAGCGGGUGAAAAGCCCGCUCGCCGGAAGACCAAGGGUUCCUGUCCAACGUUAAUCGGGGCAGGGUGAGUCGACCCCUAAGGCGAGGCCGAAAGGCGUAGUCGAUGGGAAACAGGUUAAUAUUCCUGUACUUGGUGUUACUGCGAAGGGGGGACGGAGAAGGCUAUGUUGGCCGGGCGACGGUUGUCCCGGUUUAAGCGUGUAGGCUGGUUUUCCAGGCAAAUCCGGAAAAUCAAGGCUGAGGCGUGAUGACGAGGCACUACGGUGCUGAAGCAACAAAUGCCCUGCUUCCAGGAAAAGCCUCUAAGCAUCAGGUAACAUCAAAUCGUACCCCAAACCGACACAGGUGGUCAGGUAGAGAAUACCAAGGCGCUUGAGAGAACUCGGGUGAAGGAACUAGGCAAAAUGGUGCCGUAACUUCGGGAGAAGGCACGCUGAUAUGUAGGUGAAGUCCCUCGCGGAUGGAGCUGAAAUCAGUCGAAGAUACCAGCUGGCUGCAACUGUUUAUUAAAAACACAGCACUGUGCAAACACGAAAGUGGACGUAUACGGUGUGACGCCUGCCCGGUGCCGGAAGGUUAAUUGAUGGGGUCAGCGCAAGCGAAGCUCUUGAUCGAAGCCCCGGUAAACGGCGGCCGUAACUAUAACGGUCCUAAGGUAGCGAAAUUCCUUGUCGGGUAAGUUCCGACCUGCACGAAUGGCGUAAUGAUGGCCAGGCUGUCUCCACCCGAGACUCAGUGAAAUUGAACUCGCUGUGAAGAUGCAGUGUACCCGCGGCAAGACGGAAAGACCCCGUGAACCUUUACUAUAGCUUGACACUGAACAUUGAGCCUUGAUGUGUAGGAUAGGUGGGAGGCUUUGAAGUGUGGACGCCAGUCUGCAUGGAGCCGACCUUGAAAUACCACCCUUUAAUGUUUGAUGUUCUAACGUGGACCCGUGAUCCGGGUUGCGGACAGUGUCUGGUGGGUAGUUUGACUGGGGCGGUCUCCUCCUAAAGAGUAACGGAGGAGCACGAAGGUUGGCUAAUCCUGGUCGGACAUCAGGAGGUUAGUGCAAUGGCAUAAGCCAGCUUGACUGCGAGCGUGACGGCGCGAGCAGGUGCGAAAGCAGGUCAUAGUGAUCCGGUGGUUCUGAAUGGAAGGGCCAUCGCUCAACGGAUAAAAGGUACUCCGGGGAUAACAGGCUGAUACCGCCCAAGAGUUCAUAUCGACGGCGGUGUUUGGCACCUCGAUGUCGGCUCAUCACAUCCUGGGGCUGAAGUAGGUCCCAAGGGUAUGGCUGUUCGCCAUUUAAAGUGGUACGCGAGCUGGGUUUAGAACGUCGUGAGACAGUUCGGUCCCUAUCUGCCGUGGGCGCUGGAGAACUGAGGGGGGCUGCUCCUAGUACGAGAGGACCGGAGUGGACGCAUCACUGGUGUUCGGGUUGUCAUGCCAAUGGCACUGCCCGGUAGCUAAAUGCGGAAGAGAUAAGUGCUGAAAGCAUCUAAGCACGAAACUUGCCCCGAGAUGAGUUCUCCCUGACCCUUUAAGGGUCCUGAAGGAACGUUGAAGACGACGACGUUGAUAGGCCGGGUGUGUAAGCGCAGCGAUGCGUUGAGCUAACCGGUACUAAUGAACCGUGAGGCUUAACCU
rnacentral:rRNA from 1 species